UUCAAUUUUUCAUUGUAAAACUGUAUUAUUUGUAAAAUCAGAUGGCCUGACAUGUUUCUUCUGUCUAAAUGUUGCUAUUCAAAUGAGGCAUGUGUGAUGUUACAGAGAUAGUUGACCCAAAAAUGAGCAUUGUGUCAUCAUUACUCACCUCAUGUUGUUUUAAUCCUGAAAAAUUGUUCAUCUUUUGAACACAGAUGAAGAUAUUUUAAUGAAUUCUGAGAGAUUUCCGUCCCUUCAAAAACUUAUUCAACAUAAACUAAUUCAUCUGAAUGGAGAGGUUUAGUCCAAAUUUUCUUAAGAGAUUUAAUUUAGGCUUUUAUUCACAUAUUUACACUGAUCAGCGAACAUAAACAGAAGCUCAUUGGUUCUCAUUGGAUCUCAAACGUGCUGCGAAACACAAGAAUGAUCCUCAUUGAUUCUGAGACAAGCAAGCGAGCUUGAGCUUCUGUUUGCCAUCACUGCUGUGUGCGCUGAUUCAUAAAAGCCUUAAUUAAAUCUGUUCAGCAUUUGAAGCGAUUGAGUCUCUUCAGAAGAUGCAGACUAAACCGCUCAAUUCAUCUGGGUUUCUUCAUGAACUCUGCGUUGACUGUCAGUGGAGGGACAGAAAUCUCUCAGAUUUCAUUAAAUAUAUCUUCAGCUGUGAUCUGAAUAUGAAGGAAAGUCUUGCAGGUUUGGAGCGACAUGAGGGUUAACGAAUGAUGACAGAAUCAGCAUUUUUAGUUGAACUAUCCCUGUAAACUGCUUAAAAUACAUUAUUCAUUAAAAACCACAUAUAUUAAAGAACUUUUAAAAAAAUAAACACUGAAAUUCCUCUGCACACAAAAUCUUUUAUUUAAACAAUAUCAUAAGUAUGUUGUUCUGAAUAUUCAGUAUCACAGCACAACUGCUGGUGUGACAUUGCUUUAAUAAAGUAGUUCAAUAAACAAGCGAUAAAUACUGAACUUACAUUUAUGACAGAACUUGUCCAGUUGCUUUGUGUUUCUUUUUCCACAGAGAAGUCAAAGGAGAACUUUCACAGCGUCACAAUUUCCACCUUCUUCCAUCAACAUAAAAACACUCUCCGAACGCUGUUGAUCUGAUGGAGAACAGUUGAGAUAUAAUCAAAAGUCGAGGAGUGUUCAGCUGUCGCCACUUUCAAAAGGGAGAUUUUCUCAUCGAACUAAACAAGAAUAUGAAAGAAGGCACAGAGUAUACCACGCUGCACUUGAAGUUUUUUUAUUUGAAUUUCGUUGUAAUGGAAAACAGUUUUGGGUUGAUGCUGCCAGAGAUGACGGCUCUUUAGGGAGACUCGUCAAUGAUGAUCAUGUGAACCCCAACAGCAAAAUGAAAACAAUCAGAGUGGACGGAAAGCCCCAUCUGUGCUUAUUUGCAGUAAAGGACAUAAGUCCUGGGCAAGAGAUCAUGUAUAACUAUGAUUCUGACCGGCCAUGGAAAAGCAAGGUGUGCUCUGAGACAGAACAACAGGUGAAUGCUUUGGUCAGCUGUGCUGCAGGAG